rnacentral:pre_miRNA from 1 species
AGUGUGAUUGCUGGAUCAUAUGGUAAAGUAUGUAUAAUUUUGGAAGAAACUGCCAAACUGUCUUCCAAAGUAGCUGCACCAUUUUGCAUUCCCACCAGCAAU